UGCCAUGGAGGGGUUCAACUCCAAUCCCAACGUUCUUCAUCUUCAAGGUUCAACUGUUCACGUUUGAAGAUUUUCUAUUUUGGGUGCGAGUUCAUACUAAUUGUACAAUGAUUCACGUAAGUUGGUGCCGAUUUAAUCUGGAAAUUUGGAGCUUGUUUGGUUCAGUGCCUACCGCUGCCCUGCCAAUUUUUUGGCGUUGACCGAUGGGGUGGGCUGGCGUUUGGAUUGCAGCCAAAUUUUAGAAUCCCGACCAAUAUUUUGGUCACCUGCUGCAACCUGUAGUGAUUCUGGCGACCGCGUGGUGGCGAGAACUUGGCGGCGAAUUCGAUGGCCAAAAAAUUGGCAUGCCAACGUUUUGGUAGGGCUCUUGUGGGCAUCAUCCAAACAUGCCCUUGGUAAUAGAAAUCCCCCUCCUUUGCCUCUGUUCGAUUUUGCUAGCUAUCCUUGUUGUAGAUCAUAGGGUUGUCAUCUUCAUAUGUCAUAUGAUAUAUAAUUGAUGCAAAAUGCAGCUGACCCAUCGUGUAUCUGAAACCAUUUAUCUGUAGUUGUGUUCUUUUUGGUAUAUCUGAAUAUGACUAAAGAUGUUUGAAGAAAUGGAUGGCCAAAACGGUGGUAUCUUUGGCGAGAUGACUGGACCAUCUUCUAUGAUCCAGAGGAAGCACCUCUUGCACAGACAUGUAUAUUUAUUUGUGAAUCCGAUCCUAACAAGAGUAUUUGACCUUUAACAUUUUUCUGACAGAAAGUAUGAGCACCUAAAUUUCUUGGAAUUUAAUAGCUCCUAAAACAGAUGUUUUGUCAUAGUGAAGGAACCAGAGGGGAGGAUAUAUAGAUCACCCAUGCCUCCACUACGCCACCUGCUGUUGGAUGGCACUGGCCGUCCAAGCGUGUGGAACUGGAAGGACUGUCCAUCAUGGCGGCACAGCUCAUCUCGGAGGAGAAAAGACCAAGGUCCUGCAGGUUUCAAGUGCUACAUAUAGGAGGAGGCAGGAGUGGCUGCAAUCUUGCUACGAAAUGACACUUAUGGAGCUUCUUUACCUAACAUGGCCAAGAAGUCCGCAAAAUCCAGUGAGCAUAGAGUAUAGCCGGUUG